GGGGCAAUACCGCGUGUGGGAUGAAGCCCUUCGGGGUGUAAACCACUGUCAGGGUUCGGGAAAAAAAUGACCAGACCCAAAGGAAGGGCCGGCUAACUCUGUGCCAGCAGCCGCGGUAAUACAGAGGGCCCGAGCGUUAAUCGGAAUCACUGGGCUUAAAGCGUACGCAGGCGGACUUGUAGGCAUUUUGUGAAAUCCCUCGGCUCAACCGGGGAAUUGCAGAGUGAACCACAAGUCUUGAGGCGAGUAGAGGCGGUCGGAACGAUAGGUGGAGCGGUGAAAUGCGUAGAUAUCUAUCGGAACGCCAAAGGUGAAGACAGGCCGCUGGGCUCGUCCUGACGCUGAGGUACGAAAGCGUGGGUAGCGAACGGGAUUAGAUACCCCGGUAGUCCACGCCGUAAACGAUGCACACUAGGUCGGGGAGGUUUGACGCCCUCCUGGCCGAAGCAAAAGUGUUAAGUGUGCCGCCUGGGGAGUACGGUCGCAAGGCUAAAACUCAAAGGAAUUGACGGGGGCUCACACAAGCGGUGGAGCAUGUGGCUUAAUUCGAAGCAACGCGAAGAACCUUAUCCAGGGUUUGACAUCCCGGAUUAAACCGUUGAAAGACGGUCUACACCCUUUGGGUGGAACGGUGACAGGUGCUGCAUGGCUGUCGUCAGCUCGUGCUGUGAAGUGNCGGGUUAAGUCCCUUAACGAGCGCAACCCCUAUCGUUAGUUGCUAACAGGUAAUGCUGAGGACUCUAGCGAGACUGCCGGUGUCAAACCGGA
rnacentral:rRNA from 1 species